rnacentral:rRNA from 1 species
AGCGAACGUUAGCGGCGGGCCUAACACAUGCAAGUCGAGCGAGAAAGGGGCUUCGGCCCUGAGUAAAGCGGCGGACGGGUGAGUAACACGUAGGUAAUCUUCCUUCGAGCGGGGGACAACGGUCCGAAAGGACCGCUAAUACCGCGUACGUUCCCGAGGACCCAGGUCCCUGGGGGGAAAGCAAGGUUGAAAGAUCCGGCACUGCGGGAGGGCCCUGCGUCGCAUCAGCCAGUUGGUGGGGUAAUGGCCUACCAAGGCGAAGACGGCGUACCUGGUCUGAGAGGAUGAUCAGCCACACUGGGACUGAGACACGGCCCAGACUCCUACGGGAGGCAGCAGUGGGGAAUAUUGGACAAUGGGCGCAAGCCUGAUCCAGCCACGCCGCGUGAGUGACGAAGGCCUUCGGGUCGUAAAGCUCUGUGGGGAGGGACGAACCGCAGCACGUGCAUAGCGUGCAGCAUGACGGUACCUCCUUAGCAAGCACCGGCUAACUUCGUGCCAGCCGCCGCAGUAA